AGCCCCUCCUCGUACCGUCGCUCGAGGCCUGGAGGUGCGCUCUGGGGCUGCCUGGGGACCGCCCGUCUCGGAGCCGCGGGUCAGAGAGAUUGCCGGCGCUGGGAGCUACCUAGCAGAUUUCUGAGAGCCACAACUGAGGUGCAGAAGGGAAAACAACUUCCAAGAGCCUGAUGGUAUGCUAACCCACACCAAAAUAACUGGCACAAACAAGGAGUGCUGACUUCCUACAGAAUCUGCCUCAGUUCAUCUCAGACCUUGCCUGUGGCACUGAACCUUCCCAAGCGAACAGAUCUAUUCCAAUCUUUGUUACCCUUGGUCAUCUUCUCAUAUCUAGUCACAGUUGCUAACUGGAGUUAUUCCUCUGUUUUAUAAUUGACCAGAGUGGCAACUAGAGAUUUCAUUUGCAAUUAGCCUUGGUUUCCUCCUGGAAAACACACAACUCUGCUGUGAGAUCCAAAGCUGGCAGCGUCAUCCGGCAACAAAGAAUACAUACCAGGCUUGUUGGAUGCUUCUGUUUGCUGACAUGAAUGUACCUGUGCACACAGCAGCAUGCCACUGAAGUGAAAAGGACAGCUAGCACGAUAGGCAGAAUGUAUCCAAAUACAACUGUUAUAGUCUCAUCUGUUGUUUUAUCUGUUAACAAAGCAAAAGUUUUUGUUGUACGGCUUAACUUCAUAAUGUAUUCAGACAGUAACACUCACAUUUACCAUACUGCUCUUUGGGACAUGGGAUGCAAAUAUUUUAAAUAAAACAGGAAUUUACAGGAAAUCUGGGGAAAAAAAGAGCUACAGAACAAUCUUUUAUUAUUUCAGUCUAAAUAAUAAAUUAAACUAUAAAAAAAAGUAAAAAAAACCUGUAAAAUUAAGUAACAAUCCCUCCCUCUUGCUCUCCUGUUGCUAGUUUCUACCCCCUCAGAUUGUCCCAGCUCUGUCACUCCCAAGCAUCAUUCAAGGAGAAAAAAAAAGAUCUCAUUCAUUGAGACUCAAGCAAUGCAGAGCCUUUUUUUCAAAGGUACUGUCUUAUCUUUCAGUCAGCAGGACCCAACUAUGUUUUAAAGUCAAAAAUAAGUUCAAUAGUGUGAAUCCACAGAGAGAGAAUAGACAGCAAAAAUUACAAACUCAUUCACCAUUUUCUCUAACUCUGUAAUUUGCCAGCUUACACGUACCUUUCAAAGUAGAAAUGCAGUGUUCUUUGGAAAACCCACUGUGUAGAAGAGGUGUAGUGACAUGGAUCUGCGCACUGACACAGUAAGCUGUUCCAGGUUCUAACCAGGGCACAACCAAGGUGCUGUUGCUGAUGGAGAACAACCACUAGAAGAUACAUACAAAAAAAGUCUGUCUUUCCUCUUUAACUCCUCACAUACAGAAAGGUAAAAAUGUUACAGAUAAAAUUUGUCACGAGAACACAUUUCCCGAAAUAAAUAAUAAUGCUCCAA